UACGAAGGGUGCAAGCGUUACCCGGAAUUACUGGGCGUAAAGCGUGCGUAGGUGGUUGUUUAAGUCUGUUGUGAAAGCCCUGGGCUCAACCUGGGAAUUGCGGUGGAUACUGGGCGACUAGAGUGUGGUAGAGGGUAGUGGAAUUCCCGGUGUAGCAGUGAAAUGCGUAGAGAUCGGGAGGAACAUCCAUGGCGAAGGCAGCUACCUGGGCCAACACUGACACUGAGGCACGAAAGCGUGGGGAGCAAACAGG
rnacentral:rRNA from 1 species